rnacentral:rRNA from 1 species
AUAAUACCUGCCCAGUGACAUUUGUUCAACGGCCGCGGUAUCCUAACCGUGCAAAGGUAGCAUAAUCAUUUGCCUAUUAAUUGUAGGCUAGAAUGAACGGGUUAACGAAAUAAAAGCUGUCUCAAUUAAUCAACUAAAAAUUAUUUUUUGUCCGAAGAAAGGCAGAUAAACUCGAAGGACAAGAAGACCCUAUAGAGCUUAAUUUAAAAUAUAGAACUAUGCUAUAGCAAUAUUCGGUUGGGGCGACCCAGGGCUAAUAAAUCACCCAUUAAAUAAAAGAUAAAUUAAUCCACCAAAUGACCCUUAAAGAUCAUAAGAACAAGCUACCUUAGGGAUAACAGGCUAAUCCCACUUAAGAGUCCUUAUCAACAGUGGGGUUUGGCACCUCGAUGUUGGCUUAGGGUAUCCCUAUAGCGCAAAAGUUAUAUAAAGAUGGUUUGUUCAACCAAUAAUCCCCUACGUGAUCUGAGUUCAGACCGGAU